AAGUAAUAGGUAAUUAUAUCAACAAUAGCUACAACUGAGCAAUAUUAAAUUGAAAUUUAUGGAUCUUAUUCCCAUAGUGCUUGAAACUAAUAGUGUAAAUUUAAUGUAAUGGGGAAGGCUUUAGGACCUGGAAGAUUUAGGGGAGAGUUUAAAUCGGAACUGGUAGUGAGCUCACUUUUUCUCUCUCCCACAAAACACGUAAGCAAAAUAGUGGCUAGAUUUGUGGUGUGCAGAGACGCUAAGAAAUUGUUGGAGUGCUAAAAUAAAGCAGUAAAGAUUCCUUUCAUGCCAGGAUCAAAUUCCCAUUCAACAGAGAGUAUUGUGUAACAUCACACCAGCCAAGCUGCAUAACAGGAGUCCGAUACCAUGUACAAAAUGUCUGGAUUUGGACAUGUUAUCCUGUGCUACUAUAUUCUAGGUAUGGCAAUUUCUAAGAACAGAUUAAUGGAACACUUUUUAAUCACAGUAUAGCAUCAAGCCU